AAUUAGACAAGCAGCGCAGCUUAAUUAAGCAUCAGAGAAAAUGGUGCUUAUAAGACACGUGUCACUUUUCCCCUGCUUCUCUCCACAUCUCUCUCGACGGCGACACCAACCCGAACCCUCUCAUCUUUCGUCUUCAGAUCAGCCAUGGAGGACGAGCUCUGUUUUUGGCCGGAGAUUGUAAAUGAGAAAAAAACUUCGUGCUGUUAGCAAAUCUCAAAAGGGUUUCUUGCUCCAAUAUGAUGAUGAUGGGGUCUAGUUUCUUUAUGGUCAUGAUCUUUGCAGCUCUCAUCAUGCCAUUGUAAUUGUGAAGAAACGAUGAAGUGUUUGUUUUCCAGUUUAAAGUUUGUUGCUUUUAACAAUGACUAGUGAUUUUUGGUUCAUCAGUGAAUUUUGUGUAGGAUGGUAUUUUUGGUUUUGAUAUGAUUGUAUAAUGCUGAUGAUGAUGAUGAUGGGUUUUGUUCAAGUUACUUGUUUUCUGUCGGAUAAAGAGUUUUGAGUUU